AGCCAUUACCAUAAUUUCACCAGAGAAUUAAUGUGCUGAGAUUCUUUGGACCCUGGAGACAAUUUCUUCAAUCUACAGUAGUGAUGAAUGAAGAAAUCGCAAGGGAGAUAUCUACUGUGCUACUGCAUCUACUGUUUCUCAAGACAUUUCAGUGUCUUGGAAAGGAAGACUGCCCCUGUGGUGAAAAGAGGAACCAGGUGACAAACCUGUACAGCCAAGGUUUUAUAAAGGGAGUUGAAUUGCAGUAG
rnacentral:lncRNA from 1 species